CAGUGGCGAAGGCGGCCCCCUGGACAAAGACUGACGCUCAGAUGCGAAAGCGUGGGUAGCAAACAGGAUUAGAUACCCUGGUAGUCCACGCCGUAAACGCUGUCUACUUGGAGGUUGAGGUUUUAGACUUUGGCUUUCGGCGCUAACGCAUUAAGUAGACCGCCUGGGGAGUACGGCCGCAAGGUUAAAACUCAAAUGAAUUGACGGGGGCCCGCACAAGCGGUGGAGCAUGUGGUUUAAUUCGAUGCAACGCGAAGAACCUUACCUACUCUUGGCAUCCAGCGAAGCCUUUAGAGAUAGAGGCGUGCCUUCGGGAGCGCUGAGACAGGUGCUGCAUGGCUGUCGUCAGCUCGUGUUGUGAAAUGUUGGGUUAAGUCCCGCAACGAGCGCAACCCUUAUCCUUGUUUGCCAGCACGUAAUGGUGGGAACUCCAGGGAGACUGCCGGUGAUAAACCGGAGGAAGGUGGGGACGACGCCAAGUCAUCAUGGCCCUUACGAGUAGGGCUACACACGUGCUACAAUGGCAGAUACAGAGGGCAGCGAGACAGCGAUGUUUAGCGAAUCCCUUAAAGUUUGUCGUAGUCCGGAUUGGAGUCUGCAACUCGACUCCAUGAAGUCGGAAUCGCUAGUAAUCGUGGAUCAGAAUGCCACGGUGAAUACGUUCCCGGGCCUUGCACACACCGCCCGU
rnacentral:rRNA from 1 species